GACGAGCCACACAAACGUUAUUCGGAAUUACUGGGCUUAAAGGGUGCGUAGGCUGCGCGAAAAGUUGGGUGUGAAAUACCUCGGCUCAACCGAGGAACUGCGCCCAAAACUAUCGUGCUCGAGGAGGAUAGAGGUGAGCGGAACUUACGGUGGAGCGGUGAAAUGCGUUGAUAUCGUAAGGAACACCCGUGGCGAAAGCGGCUCACUGGGUCUUAUCUGACGCUGAUGCACGAAAGCUAGGGGAGCAAACGGG
rnacentral:rRNA from 1 species